GACGAACGCUGGCGGCGUGCUUAACACAUGCAAGUCGAACGGAAAGGCCCUGCUUUUGUGGGGUGCUCGAGUGGCGAACGGGUGAGUAACACGUGAGUAACCUGCCCUUGACUUUGGGAUAACUUCAGGAAACUGGGGCUAAUACCGGAUAGGAGCUCCUGCUGCAUGGUGGGGGUUGGAAAGUUUCGGCGGUUGGGGAUGGACUCGCGGCUUAUCAGCUUGUUGGUGGGGUAGUGGCUUACCAAGGCUUUGACGGGUAGCCGGCCUGAGAGGGUGACCGGCCACAUUGGGACUGAGAUAAGGCACAGACUGCUACGGGAGGCAGCAGUGGGGAAUAUUGCACAAUGGGCGGAAGCCUGAUGCAGCAACGCCGCGUGCGGGAUGACGGCCUUCGGGUUGUAAACCGCUUUCGCCUGUGACGAAGCGUGAGUGACGGUAAUGGGUAAAGAAGCACCGGCUAACUACGUG
rnacentral:rRNA from 1 species